CUGAAAUAAUAUUCUAAUAAACUACAGCUAGCAGAAAGUGACUACGACUCCAAGUUGGGGAGUGGUUCUGUAGAUUAGAAUCUCUGAUUCACUGUCACUCUCAGUCCACCAAGUGUUGACAUUCUAGUCCAUAUUAUUUGCAGAAAAAGGCAAAAAUUGUUGUGGGGAUCAUGUUACAGUGUUAGAGGAUGCAGCAGAUACUGUACCUCUGUUUCAUUCUGCAAAGAUUAUCUUGGAAAAAAAUAUCAUUAUGUAGGAUCACCUGCAUGAACCCUUUGUUCUGAUGCUAUUUAUGCUGAUUCCUGUUUUACUCAUACUACAGUAAUGCUAUGGAAAAGCCUCUAAUCUACACCUGUAAACUAAGUAUAAGAUAUAAUUAGCACAGGUUUAUAUACUACACUGAUACAAGGGCGGUUUGACCAUGCAAACAUUAAUUUCUCUGGAGGCCGGAGACCUACCCUCCCCACGAAUGUGAUCAAGCGAAUGGUGUGGGUGCGAGAAUGUAUCUGAGAGUGCAUUGGUUGACGUAUGAUUGACUAGUUUGGUGUGAGAGAGUUUAUGGUGUGUGUGUUUUGAUUUGAUAAUGUGUGUUUUGCGUGUGGGUGGAUGUAUGCGUCUGUGAUUGUGUGAGUUUGUAUGCGUGUAGUGCGGUUGGAGUGUGGGGGGGUCCGGUUUUCUGCCCGGGGUACGAUGAUUGUCUGCCUGGGUGGUCUCUUUUCUGUUGACCCCCACCAAUUGCUGGCCUUGUGCUGCAGGCCAGCGUGGUGCCAGGGGAUGAGGUCGGGCUGAUGGGGUCGGCCCCGCUCUGCUCGUGUAGGGGUGGUGGACUGGGGACGGGCCCCACUCUGGGCGCGGGGGCAUCUCCUGGCGGGCUCCCUACAGACCGUGGGUCCUCGGGCUCCACUCUUUGAGGGCCGACCCUCCCACCGGGGGGAGUGUUUGCCCCUGGUUCUCAUGGGGCGGACAGCGUUGACCCCCGGUGGCCCACUCUGACCUCGGAUGCUGUCUCUGUGGCUGCUGCAGCUCUGCCUGGGGGGCUCUGUGUGGGCGGCUUGGGUCGCAACACCUCUCCUCCUGGAACUGAAGGUGUGUGGGCUCCCUGGCUGCUGGGAUUCCUUCCUCUGCUUGCUGGAUGGGCGUAGUGGCCGAGCCCCUCACAUCACCCUGGCUUCCACAAGUGGCAUUGUUCAUGCACCAACGUCUGCCUCACCCUUUGGGUGAAUAAUAUCAAGCUACAGCCUUACUAACGUUGUAGUGGGACACUCAAUGCCUGAACAGGCUUUCCAAAUCCAACUGUAAGUAUUACUGAUACUUAUCACUACCAAUAUCAAUAAUGUGUGAAUAUGGAAAUUGUGGUGUUGUAUGUCAUGACUUUUAUUAAGUAGUAUGGGAUAUGUAUAACAAUGCACAUAUGUAUGUAUAUGAUAUGUAUAUGUUUGUAUGAGUAUGUGCACACACCUUAACACUAUUAUUGGUAUUAGUAUUAAUCUCCAAGGUAAACCACAGUACAACAGGUUUUUAGUUAUGAAUGUGUUAGCCUAAGGUACAUCCCUGUUUAUUUAUUUUGCUUCGAUUGUUUACUUAACAGAUUUGCUUGGUUUCAGCAGCUGGUUGCACCCCUUAAUAAUAUAUAUUUUAUAUAUACUCCUCUUGUUAAAGCAAAUCUGUCCAUCACAAUAUGGCAUUCAGCAUAAGAUAUGUUGCUUGUUAAACUGCUGGACAGAACAAAAAGAAGAAAAAAAAAAGAAGAAAAAAAAAUUCUCUGGAGGCUGGAUGUCGACAUUGUGUAGGUGUGUUUUCCGAAGAAACAUACCAGUUGUCAGUUUUACCUAGAAACUGUCAGAACAUGAUUUCUACAUUUCUUCCCUGGAACACCCAUUUGUUUUUCUCCCCGUCUUUCAGUUUACAUACCUGUGUCACUACGUGUUUCAAGAUAGAGUGAUGCCCUUAAGUCUGGUUUCUGGUAAAUAUGGAUUAAAGUCAGUUUCAGUAAUGUAGAUAGCGGAUGGUCAGUCAGUGAAGCUUUUUUAUGAAGCAUAAAAUAUGAUUUCAUAGCAUUAAUUUGAGGUAAUUAUGUUACAUGCAAGGCAAACUGGGACUAGAACUGCACUCGCCAUGAGCGUGGAAACAGGCUGCUAAGGCCUACAAACAAAACCAGAGCGGAGGACCCAAAUGCACAACCCAUAGACAGAACUGACAAUCAACUGUUUAAUAGAUGAACAAAUAAACACAAAGAGAAAUACGAACUAAGGGGGCUGCAAAUGCACGAUACAAUUAACUAGAAACACAAAAGUAACACACAUAGCAGACAAUCUGGCAAACGGAACAGGUAAGGACUGGAUCUUAAAUGACUGAGCUAAUAACUAAUUGAACACAACUGAGAAUCCCAUGACAGAAAGUAAAGCAUGAAUUGACUGGAACUGAAACAGGAACGAAACAGGAAGUUGUCAAACGAGGUUGGCGUUGUCUCCUCCAGACCACCAGGUGUCAUGAUCGGGGGUCUGGGGUAUUAUGUCCUGUUUUAUUUUGUAGUGAUGUCCGUUUUUUUCGUUUCUCCAUAUUUAUCUCAUGCUUUACCUCCGGUUAUCUGAUUUCUCAGCUGUUGUGCAUUAGCCAUUAUCAUUUGUGUAUUUAGUCUUCAGUGUACGCCCUAGUCCUUUGCCAGUUCGUAGCGUCUUGUACCUCAUUCCAGCAUUGUUUCUGUCAGCCUUAGUAACCGUUUCGAGCCUCUUGGAUCACCCUUAUCUGUACCGUAGCCAAUACGUAUAGUAGACAGGCUCACAUUUAGAGUGUGUUGUAAACGGAGAAUCCAUCUGUCUCUGCUUUAUUUUUGUUUAAAACACAGUAACGUGAGCAAUGAUUAUACAGUGAGCAGUCACUUUGCAACCUCCUUGUACAAUGUGUUACAGUACUAUACUUGAACACAUAGAAACAGGGUUCAAAAAAUGAGUAAGUAAUACUUAAUGCAGCAACAGUGUGAGAUAUUAUGGUAUGUCCAGUGUGUGAGAAAUGAUGAUGCCGUCUGAAAGACACACAGCGGAAACGUUUGUAUGUCAGGUCACAGCUUCUGCUGGUUUCACAUUAUGAAUCAGUGACACAAAGUAGAUUAGAAGCAUAUCACAACUACAAACAUGCAGUGUGAAAACCACAUGACCAGUUUCAUGCUAAUCGUUGUCCAUGUAGCCAGAAACUGUCAGUCAGAUGGACCCUGGAUUAUGGCUGAUCUUUAUAAUUAGAAGAUGAAAUCCUGAUUAAAAUGAUAAAAUAAAGAAUGACUAAAUAAUGUAACAACUGAAAUAAUAUUCUAAUAAACUACAGCUAGCAGAAAGUGACUACGACUCCAAGUUGGGGAGUGGUUCUGUAGAUUAGAAUCUCUGAUUCACUGUCACUCUCAGUCCAUCAAGUGUUGACAUUCUAGUCUAUAUUAUUUGCAGAAAAAGGCAAAAAUUGUUGUGGGGAUCAUGUUACAGUGUUAGAGGAUGCAGCAGAUACUGUACCUCUGUUUCAUUCUGCAAAGAUUAUCUUGGAAAAAAAUAUCAUUAUGUAGGAUCACCUGCAUGAACCCUUUGUUCUGAUGCUAUUUAUGCUGAUUCCUGUUUUACUCAUACUACAGUAAUGCUAUGGAAAAGCCUCUAAUCCACACCUGUAAACUAAGUAUAAGAUAUAAUUAGCACAGGUUUAUAUACUACACUGAUACAAGGGCGGUUUGACCAUGCAAACAUUAAUUUCUCUGGAGGCCGGAGACCUACCCUCCCCACGAAUGUGAUCAAGCGAAUGGUGUGGGUGCGAGAAUGUAUCUGAGAGUGCAUUGGUUCACGUAUGAUUGACUAGUUUGGUGUGAGAGAGUUUAUGGUGUGGGUGUGUUGAUGUGAUAAUGUGUGUUGUGCGUGUGGGUGGAUGUAUGCGUCUGUGAUUGUGUGAGUUUGUAUGCGUGUAGUGCGGUUGGAGUGUGGGGGGUCCGGUUUUCUGCCCGGGGUACGUUGAUCGUCUGCCUGGGUGGUCUCUUUUCUGCUGACCCCCACCAAUUGCUGGCCUUGUGCUGCAGGCGGGUGUGGUGCCAGGGGAUGAAUUCGGGCCGAUGGGGUCGGCCCCGCUCCGCUCGUGUAGGGGUGGUGGACUGGGGGCGGGCCCCACUCUGGGUGCGGGGGCAUCUCCUGGCGGGCUCCCUACAGACCAUGGGUCCUCGGGCUCCACUCUUUGAGGGCCGACCCUCCCACCGGGGGGAGUGUUUGCCCCUGCUUCUCAUGGGGCGGACAGCGUUGACCCCCGGUGGCCCACUCUGACCUCGAGUGCUGUCUCUGUGGCUGCUGCAGCUCUGCCUGGGGGGCUCUGUGUGGGCGGCUUGGGUCGCAACACCUGCCCUUCUGGAACUGAAGGUGUGUGUGCUCCCUGGCUGCUACGAUUCUUCCCUCUGCUUGUUGGAUGGGCGUAGUGGCCGAGCCCCUCACAUCACCCUGGCUUCCACAAGUGGCAUUGUUCAUGCACCAACGUCUGCCUCACCCUUUGGGUGAAUAAUAUCAAGCUACAGCCCUACUAACCUUGUAGUGAGACACUCAAUACCUGAACAGGCUUUCCAAAUCCAACUGUAAGUAUUACUGAUACUUAUCACUACCAAUAUCAAUAAUGUGUGAAUAUGCAAAUUGUGGUGUUGUAUGUCAUGACUUUUAUUAAGUAGUAUGGGAUAUGUAUAACAAUGCACAUAUGUAUGUAUAUGAUAUGUAUAUGUUUGUAUGAGUAUGUGCACACACCUUAACACUAUUAUUGGUAUUAGUAUUAAUCUCCAAGGUAAACCACAGUACAACAGUUUUUUAGUUAUGAAUGUGUUAGCCUAAGGUACAUCCCUGCUUAUUUAUUUUGCUUCGAUUGUUUACUUAACAGAUUUGCUUGGUUUCAGCAGCUGGUUGCACCCCUAUCCCCCCUCCCGCAUAAACACCCUAAAGCAGAAACUUAACCUGUCCACCAACAUCACACAUACUUGGGAUUAGCUAAAUAAACCAUUAAAUAAACCAUAAAUCAAGAAGAGUACAUAUAUUUUAUAUAUACUCCUCUUGUUAAAGCAAGGCUGUCCAUCACAAUAUGGCAUUCAGCGUAAGAUAUGCUGCUUGUUAAACUGCUGGACAGAACAAAAAGAAAAAAAAAAUCUCUGGAGGCUGGAUGUCGACAUCGUGUAGGUGUGGUUUCCGAAGAAACAUACAAGUUGUCAGUUUUACCUAGAAACUGUCAGAACAUGAUUUCUACAUUUCUUGCCUGGAACACCCAUUUGUUUUUCUCCCCGUCUUUCAGUUUACAUACCUGUGUCACUACGUGUUUCAAGAUAGAGUGAUGCCCUUAAGUCUGGUUUCUGGUAAAUAUGGAUUAAAGUCAGUUUCAGUAAUGUAGAUAGCGGAUGGUCAGUCAGUGAAGCUUUUUUAUGAAGCAUAAAAUAUGAUUUCAUAGCAUUAAUUUGAGGUAAUUAUGUUACAUGCAAGGCAAACUGGGACUAGAACUGCACUCGCCAUGAGCGUGGAAACAGGCUGCUAAGGCCUACAAACAAAACCAGAGCGGAGGACCCAAAUGCACAACCCAUAGACAGAACUGACAAUCAACUGUUUAAUAGAUGAACAAAUAAACACAAAGAGAAAUACGAACUAAGGGGGCUGCAAAUGCACGAUACAAAUAACUAGAAACACAAAAGUAACACACAUAGCAGACAAUCUGGCAAACGGAACAGGUGAGUACUGGAUCUUAAAUAACUGAGCUAAUAACUAAUUGAACACAAUUGAGAAUCACAUGACAGAAAGUAAAGCAUGAAUUGACUGGAACUGAAACAGGAACUAAACAGGAAGUUGUCAAACGAGGUUGGCGUUGUCUCCUCCAGACCACCAGGAAACACAGCUGGCGUGAUCCUUUUCGGACCACCAGAAAACAAGGUUGGUGUGGUCUCCUCCAGACCACCAGGUGUCAUGAUCGGGGGUCUGGGGUAUUAAUCCUGUUUUAUUUUGUAGUCAUGUCCGGUUUUUCGUUUCUCCAUGUUUAUCUCACGCUUUACCUCCGGUUAUCUGAUUUCUCAGCUGUUGUGCAUUAGCCAUUAUCAUUUAUGUAUUUAGUCUUCAGUGUACGCCCUAGGCCAGUUCGUAGCGUCUUGUACCUCAUUCCAGCGUUGUUUCUGUCAGCCUUAGUAACCGUUUCGAGCCUCUUGGAUCACCCUUAUCUGUACUGUAGCCUCAUGUUAGUCUGUUACCGACCUGCCGGUUUUUGACGCCGCCUUUUGCCUGUUCACUCGCUGCUCACAAAAGAAAAGGAAAGGAUUUCAAAAAAACUAAUUUUAUUAUACAUUUCAAUUAAUUAGCCAGCGAUAAAAAUCAACUACUAAAAUAAACUACAAACAGGCAAUGGUUAAUAGAAAAAUGAAUCAAAUUCAAACCACACCAGGCAUGGGAAAAAAAAAAAUCAAAAAUCAAAACCAAACCACACCAUGCAUAAGAAAGCAAAUAAAUAAUACUGGUGGAGGUGUUUGAGUCACUGAUCUGAGAUCACCUUCAUGAGCGCUGUUUGAGGGUAGGGAUGGAGUCUAUUUGCGUAUGUCAUGAAUAUUCAGUUUUCCAAUGGGCGAACAUUUACAGUAAUAUGUAUAAUAUUUAGAUUUACAUUUAACAUUUAUAUUUGUAUCACGUCUGGACUGAGGUAACCUAACCUACAUGUGAACCUAACUCCCUCAUUGAAGAGCCUCAGGCACCAAUUGGCGCCAACAUCUCACGUGUCCAUAUCAAAGAACCAUGAGCCCACUUUGUUGAUCUACCUGUAAAUCUCACAGGAUUCCACCUCUGCUUAUCAUGCCAAAAGGACAGCCUGUCACAUUUUAUCACCGCAAAGCUGUCUCUCCUGAACUGGGAUCACCAGCCAUAAAAUGUGGAAUGUGCUUGUUAAGAGAACGAACUAGGUUUAUUAAACAUAAACCAAAACCGGCAGGCAAAAACGUGAGUCGGGCAGGCAAUAGUCAAACCAGUAAACACCAUUCCUAGUAGAGGUACAGGCAGGGACAAGGCAGAACGCAGUCAAAAACAGGCACGAGUCAAAAUCAUGGACUUCCAUGAAAAUUGCUUGAAGGCUGACAGAUCGGGUGCCAGAGAGUGACCUAUUCCCCACCCGAAAGCGCAGGGAAGCGACCUUCUCAUCCACCGGGGAAAACUCCAACACAACAUGUUCCCUGAACAUGUGGAGUUAAUUUUAUGUUUGAGGACAAAAGCUUGUAGCCACAGUCGCAAUUUAGACGACUGCCAAAAAUUAUCAUUGGAGUCUAUGGGAGAAUUUCAGGAUCUCUCUGCGCUUUGAGGUUGACUAAAGUAUAGGUCUUAUAGGACGCACGGGUAAAUGAGGUUUCUGAUGGACUUACUCUACUGGUCAAAGGGGCAAAGCGUCAAAAUCUGCCCUGACCAGAUCAGAAUCAUCUGAAUGACACUGUGGAACUGUGCAACAUGUCACUAGAACAAAUAACUUACCAUGUGAUUCAUGCUGUUGAGCUGCGCAAAGAGCAGGCAAAGAAGGCAGAGAAAGACGCAACACACCAGCAACAGCGAAAAGAGGGGGAGAUGGGUGUGGGGAUGGGUAGCAGAGCCAGUCGGGUACCUGGCUCUGCAGACCUUGGUGCUCUGCUUCCCAACUACACAGUAUUUCUCCACAUUCAUCCACUUAGGUCUGCAAGGGGCGUCCUGCUGAUGGAGGGACCGGGGCUACCGGGAAGUGGUUCCGUCCCUUCCAAGUGGAAUGCUCUGCAGUUUUUAUUGCAUUAGCCAUACAGACUCAUCCAGGAAUCUGAGGGAUCCUUCCGGGGGGGGGCCAGUAGACGGAGCCUUCCCAUUGAUGGCUCUGUCUGCUGGACCCCUCGGAGAAUUGGCUAUCUCCCAAAGUUCCUCAUACUUAGCCACAUACACAUACAUUUAGGGCCGGGAGUGGGCUCUUUCACUGGGGCCUGUGACUGAAGCCAGUUGUGGCCUCGCCCACUGGCCCUGGUGGAAUUACAAUUAUUAUUAUUAGUAUUAUGCUGUUUCUACUGAAUCAACAAUUUGUUCUGGUCAUGUUAACAGGAUGACUGUUCUAUAACCCUUGUAUUUUGGCAGAGUCGUUGUCUAAGGAAUGUCUGGGAUGGAUUCCAGGAAACAGACAUUUACUUUCAAGUAAACACCUAUUGUUGACCACUGAUAUCAGGCCAGAAGUUAGAACGAAACCAGAUUUCUAGCUGACGUAGGAUCAGGGUCUAUAAGUUUGUGCCUCAGCCUUAGACGGGCAAAGCCCCACGGACCGAUGGACGACCUGUUGUCUGGGACGAUGGGGUUCUCAGGCUGACACUCCUGCAGGAGACCAGGCGACCUCUCACCGCUGCUCUGUCCUUUCUUCCUUGCUGAUAAUAUUAUGUCACCACUUGUAAUAAAUUUAAGAUUUAUCUGUUAACGUUAACUAUUGUAGUGGUGGUUUGAAUUUGUCCAUUUCAAUCUGGCAGCUGUAAAUUUAUUACAGAUGUGGCGUCACUGAAGGCAAAGAGGAGCCAAGUCUGAAGCCGACAGUUGUCCGGGUUGACCUUCUGGACACACAACCGUUGUCACCGCAGGCAAGAGCACUUAAGCUUUUACAUGACGAUUCUGUGUUCGGGGCAGUGUGGGCAAAUUUUGGUAAGAUUAGAAACUUCUAAUCAUUAAAUUCUGAUUUGGCUGUUUCUAGAAAAUAAUCUGUGUGGGAGAGUGUAAAGUAUUAGGAGAUAGAAAGGGUCAGUGUGGAGAGAUCGCCUGUGCUUUAACUAACUGCUUUGUGUGUAUUUGUGUGUGUUAAUUUUAGAGGUUAAUUUUAAUAUUUUUUCGUCUGCCAUGGUAUUUAGUUUGAUUUUAAAGGAGUCAUAUCAUGCUUUUCAUUCUAAAAAAUAUUAGACUUUAAUGUCUCAGUAAGGUCUCUGUAAAUUUUCAUCCCAUAAAACCCUUUAGAUCGUCCACACUGCCCCUGUCAAUGUGUGGUUUUCACUCUCCAUCAGCAAACGCUGUGUUUUCUGGGCGUGUCGCAAGCGAAGCUGCUCACCACACCUCUGUGCGGAAGCGCAUACCUUUUUGUUGUUUUUUUUUUUAAAUUGGCUCCAUGGAUACGAGCCACCGCACGGUUAGGAUACAAUAGGUGGCAGUAGUGCGACAUUGAGAAUGCAAUCCACCGCAAUCCUCCACAGAAGAAGAAGACCCACUACAGAACUGCACGACAUUAGUUAGCUGGUUCGUAGCAUAGUAGAACCAUACGUCUACGAUCCCGAAUCUGAAGCUGAAGAGGAGGCUGUUGAAGUCACCACAUUUCGGCUGAUGCAAGAUGUGUCUCAUUGUUGUUACAGGUAUCUAGUCUACAGAGGCUAGUGAGCUGGUGCUGAGGAUUCCUGGGGUGAAGAAUCUGAGUUGCCAUCUCUUCAUGCUUGGGUUGUAGAUGAAGGCAGUUUCCUGAUGGAUAAAACACUAAAACACUCCUAGUAUGAUUGAUGUAGACCACCUGUAGAAUAACUCCUUUACCGUUUGAGUAAAAAUGUGUUUUUUGUGAGUGCAACACUCAUUAAGAAUUUUUUUAACUUUAUUUAUAUAUAAUUUAUAUGCGUUUUAUUUAUGGCCGCUUCAACUUUAUAGCUUACCAUAUUAGAAAGAGAAAAACAUGUAAUUUCAAUACUAUGAUUUCCUAAAUAAAAGUGUUUUCCCUUCAGAAA